UCCAGGGUAGCUUAGUGGACAUGGCAUCUGCCCGGUAAGCAGAAGGUUGUGGUUCGAUUCCCGCCCCUGGAC
rnacentral:tRNA from 1 species